GACGAACCGUGCGAACGUUGUUCGGAAUCACUGGGCUUAAGGGGCGCGUAGGCGGCAGAUCAAGUCCGGGGUGAAAUCCUCCAGCUCAACUGGAGAAGUGCCUUGGAUACUGAUGUGCUCGAGGGAGGUAGGGGUCCGCGGAACUUCUGGUGGAGCGGUGAAAUGCGUUGAUAUCAGAAGGAACGCCGGUGGCGAAAGCGGCGGACUGGAUCUCUUCUGACGCUGAGGCGCGAAAGCUAGGGGAGCAAACGGG
rnacentral:rRNA from 1 species